UCAACUUUUUGGCAAGAAGGGAUCCUCUUCGCUUUAACAUGGGGGUACCUGCUACAUAAUUAAAAAGUAAGUGCUUCCAUGUUUCAGUGGAGAAGAUUCCAAAUGGGCACAGUUUCAAGU
rnacentral:pre_miRNA from 12 species